CACCAGCAAAAUUAAACCCAUAACCCACUUCAUUAAUUUUAGUAAACACAAAAGGAUUAGAAACCCUAGACUGCGAUAGUUGAUAUCCAAAAGUUUGAGAUGAUGGCCAUUCUCCCCACGAAGUGCCACUAGGAAACUGUGCCAGAGCAGUCUCCGCAGGCUGCCCAAGUCCACCGAAACUAACAGAUCAGCUAGAGAAAUCACCAUGCAACUCCUGUCCAGCAUGAGUAGAGGAAAAUCACGUCGUGGUUGAAGCAUUUAGGCCGUUGUAGUCAUGAUUGAACCGGUAGAAGCAACACUACGCCAAACGACCAUAACGACCACAUAUCUGACACUGUGUCCGAGGACGAAACCCACGCCCACGUGAACUAGAUGUGGAACGACCACCACAAUCCAAUUCGGUUAAUGUCGUAAUUGAAGCCUCAACCAUGUGAGCAUGCAUCGGCACAUCACGCACCAUUCUUGUCUGACGGAUUUCAAACUCCAAUAAGACAUCAACAAUUUUUUGGAACGGACAGGUCUCCGAUGAGAAAGAGGCCAGAGUUAGGACCGCAUCAAAAUCAGACGAGAGACCAGCAAAAAUCACCUUCACCUUUUGGCCUCCAAGACGUUAGAUCCAAAAAUUUCAAGCAAUGCACAGGUAUUCUGGAUUUUUGCAAUAUAUUCUUUAAUAGUUAACUCACCUUUCUUGAUGAAGUGCAGGUCAUGUUUAAUAUGUGACAUUUUAGCACCGAUAGAGGCAACAAAUAAACGAUUUGCAGUGCUCCAGACAUCAUACGCUUUAGCAGCUGUAAAGCAAGACAAUAAGGAAGCACUAAUAGUAGAGAGUAACCAAGAUGCUAGUAGCUUAUCUUGUUGAAGAAACAAGGACACAUCAGGAUUUGGAGUCAGAACACCAUCCGGAGACGCCACAAGUCUAGGCGGAGCAGGAAACGUGCUUUCUAAAAAACCUUGCAACUCAUAUCCUUCUAUGAUUAAUCUAAUAUGUUGCUGCCAUUGCACAAAGUUUCCGUCAUCUAAUUUCACUGUGUCGUGACGAAGGAAUGACCGAAUCAAACGCGAGCUGGAAAAAGACAGACUAGAAUGAUCAACGGAAGUGGAAUCUGUUGAAUGAGCCAUGAAUCGGUAGCGGAAGCAGACACCAGGAGGUUAGGUGACUAAUACCAUGUUAGAUACUAUACUAAUACACUAAAACAAAGAACAAAAUGAGAAUGAUGAAUUUAUUGAGAAAAUUUAUUUGUAUUCUUUAUCUGCUUGAAUCAAUACACUGCUGAUGUUUAUAUACUUGAAUAUGAGUAACUGCUCCAAACCAACUACAUACCAGACUAAUUAACUGAAUGAUAAUAGACUAACAAUCUCUAUAUUAACAAUCUUUAUACUCUAACACACUCUCACCUUGGCAUUUCAUUUCAAUAAUUUUCUAGUAGAUUAUGUACAUUUCAUAUUGGAAAAUGAUACUAUAAGUUUAAUACGGAUAUCUUAUAUUAUGUACGAAAAAUUAUCUGACGAUAAUUAAAGAAAUUGCUUCAUAAUGAUUCCUUGAUCAUCAUACUAUUAUUCUCAAUCCAAGCAUUAAAGAACAAUUUUUUUUUUC
rnacentral:lncRNA from 1 species